AGUGAACGCUGGCGGUAGGCCUAACACAUGCAAGUCGAACGGCAGCACAGUAAGAGCUUGCUCUUACGGGUGGCGAGUGGCGGACGGGUGAGGAAUACAUCGGAAUCUACUUUUUCGUGGGGGAUAACGUAGGGAAACUUACGCUAAUACCGCAUACGACCUACGGGUGAAAGCAGGGGAUCUUCGGACCUUGCGCGAUUGAAUGAGCCGAUGUCGGAUUAGCUAGUUGGCGGGGUAAAGGUCCACCAAGGCGACGAUCCGUAGCUGGUCUGAGAGGAUGAUCAGCCACACUGGAACUGAGACACGGUCCAGACUCCUACGGGAGGCAGCAGUGGGGAAUAUUGGACAAUGGGCGCAAGCCUGAUCCAGCCAUACCGCGUAGGUGAAGAAGGCCUUCGGGUUGUAAAGCCCUUUUGUUGGGAAAGAAAAGCAGCAGGUUAAUACCCCGCUGUUCUGACGGUACCCAAAGAAUAAGCACCGGCUAACUUCGUG
rnacentral:rRNA from 1 species